GUAUGCCUACUAAAAUAAUUCGAGUUGUUAAAUGAAUGUGUUUCCUGAGAGGUUGCGAUUUCUAUAGCAACAUUUAACAUUAGGAAGGUUUGCAAAACGUUGUGUCAGUAUUGUUAGCCUGACUUAAGCAAGUCAAACAUCAAAUCUCCAGGAAGGAAAGUAAUUUCUCUUACAAAUCAAAUCGUACUUUCACUGUACGUGUAUUAUGAUCAUAUAGCUAUUGGACUAUUUUGCAGCAGUCCCAGAAAAACGGAGCUUAACUUUACAAAAGAUGCUUGCUUACAUUAUAAUUGUAUUAUUCCAUUGCAUAGUAAGCAGGACACACUAGCACUGCAUUUUCAUUCAAUCACAAGUUACUUUACAUAGAUUUUCAGUAAGAAUUCUUGAAUUCUUCUUUUAUCUUAUUUCAGGAUUAUUGAAUGUAAUACAUUUUAACUGUAUUUUUUGUGUCUGUUUGCAGGUUUGGAAUGCAAUGUAAGCUGUGUGGCUUUGAGAGUCCCAGUCUUGACAGUCUUCUCAAGCACUACCUGUUCUGCCACUAUCAAGGACGCACUAGUCCGUUGCCCUGUCUCCAUCCUCAGUGCGUUUGCACUUUCAGAACUCCAGGGUUUCCACCGGAUCUAUUACAUGACCUCUUGGAGGGAGUUGUACCCUAUGAGUUGGCUGUUUGCUUGAAGGAACUCAUUACAAAGAGAGUAUGUUGUUUCGCGUGUUGCUGGGUCCUGAUAAUGCCAGAAGAAUCAAUGUCACUGAAGCCCUCAACUCGGUCAGUCACUUGAAAAAUAUUCUGCAAGAUAGUCUACAGAUUGUGCAAGACUUUGAGAUUCAGUUUGAGGAUCCAGACUUUGGCAACCAGCUGUGUAAUUUGACUGACAUAUCCGAACUUCCACCAGAUAGAGCUAUAUUGAAAAUAAUCACCAAAGUAUCUGAAGAGUCAGAUAAUGCUUCUAUAUCAUCCCUUGACACUGCUAGUAUAGCUUCCUCUUCCAGUUCGGCAGCUUCUGCGUCAUCUAGCUCAAAUGUUAGUCCCAUUAGCAUACCUCUUAGACAGCGUGAAAAUUCA